rnacentral:rRNA from 1 species
ACGGGUGAGUAAUGCAUCGGAACGUGCCCAGUAGUGGGGGAUAGCCCGGCGAAAGCCGGAUUAAUACCGCAUACGACCUAUGGGUGAAAGCGGGGGACCGAAAGGCCUCGCGCUAUUGGAGCGGCCGAUGUCAGAUUAGGUAGUUGGUGGGGUAAAGGCCUACCAAGCCUACGAUCUGUAGCUGGUCUGAGAGGACGACCAGCCACACUGGGACUGAGACACGGCCCAGACUCCUACGGGAGGCAGCAGUGGGGAAUUUUGGACAAUGGGCGCAAGCCUGAUCCAGCCAUGCCGCGUGCGGGAAGAAGGCCUUCGGGUUGUAAACCGCUUUUGUCAGGGAAGAAAUCUUCUGGGUUAAUACCUCGGGAGGAUGACGGUACCUGAAGAAUAAGCACCGGCUAACUACGUGCCAGCAGCCGCGGUAAUACGUAGGGUGCAAGCGUUAAUCGGAAUUACUGGGCGUAAAGCGUGCGCAGGCGGUUAUGUAAGACAGAUGUGAAAUCCCCGGGCUUAACCUGGGAACUGCAUU